UACGUAGGGUGCGAGCGUUAAUCGGAAUUACUGGGCGUAAAGCGUGCGCAGGCGGUCUGUUAAGACCGAUGUGAAAUCCCCGGGCUUAACCUGGGAACUGCAUUGGUGACUGGCAGGCUUUGAGUGUGGCAGAGGGAGGUAGAAUUCCACGUGUAGCAGUGAAAUGCGUAGAGAUGUGGAGGAAUACCGAUGGCGAAGGCAGCCUCCUGGGCCAACACUGACGCUCAUGCACGAAAGCGGGUGGGAGCAAACAGG
rnacentral:rRNA from 1 species